AUGGAGGCCGCCAUGAUCCCCUUGAUCAAGAAGCUCGGCGGCCUACUCGCGGAUGAGUACAACCUGGAGACACGCGUGAGGAAAGGCGUCGAGUCUCUGAUAAUAGAGUUGGAGAUGAUGCACGCCGUUCUGCGCAAGAUUGGUGACAAGCCGCCGGAGCAGUUCGACGAGCAGGUCCUCAUCUGGGCGGGCAAAGUGAGGGACCUCUCCUACCGCAUGGAGGAUGCCGUCGACAGUUUCGUCGUGCGCGUGGAGGACGACGGCCAUGACCGUGGCUCCACCAACAUGAAGAACAGAGUCAAGAAGUUCCUCAAAAGGGCCACCAAACUGUUUACCAAGGGUAAGGCUCUUCAUCAGAUCUCCGAUGACAUUGAAGAAGCUCAGCGGCUCGCCAAGGAGUUGGGUGACCUGCGCCAAAGGUAUAUGAUUGACGCGCACGCCAGCGCUAAUGGUGAUGCCAUUGACCCUCGUCUGAAGGCGGUGUACAAAGAUGUCACAGAACUUGUUGGGAUAGAUCACAUCAGAGAUGGGCUGAUUGAAAAUCUGUGUGGUUGUGAUGAGAGAUCCAAGGACCAAUUAAGGACCAUGUCUAUUGUUGGAUUUGGCGGACUGGGCAAAACAACUCUGGCCAAAGCAGUGUAUGACAAGAUCAAAGUGCAGUUUCACAGUCGAGCUUUUGUUUCCGUUUCUCGGAAUCCUGACAUGACCAAGAUAUUCAAGAAGAUAUUAUAUGAACUUGACAAGAGCAAGUAUGCAACCAUCAACGAAGCUGCUAGGGACAAUGAACAACUCAUCGAUGAAAUGAGAAUGUUUCUUCAGGACAAGAGGUACCUUAUUGUAAUUGACGACAUAUGGGAUGAAGAAGCAUGGGAAUUUAUCAAGUGUGCUUUCUCUGACAAUUGUCUUGGUAGUCGAGUAAUGACUACGACCCGCAUAGGCAGUAUCUCUAAAGCAUGUUGUUCUUCUGGUGAAGAUAUAAUAUAUCAUAUGAAACGUCUUACUGAUGAUGACUCCAGAAAACUCUUCUACAAAAGAAUAUUUCCUCAAGGAAGUAAGUGUCCUGCUGAAUUGGAGCCAGUAUCUAGAGAAAUCUUAAAGAAAUGUGGUGGAGUACCACUAGCGAUCAUUACUAUUGCUAGUAUUUUAGCUAAUAAUGGUCAGGAUCAAUGGAUAAAGCCAAAGUAUCACUGGGACAACAUACUUGGCUCUAUUGGUCGUGGACUCGCAGAAGGUGGUAGUGCAAACGAUAUGCAUAGAAUAUUGUCCUUUAGUUAUUACGAUUUACCUUCUCAUCUGAAGGCUUGUUUGCUAUAUCUCAGUAUAUUUCCAGAGGAUUUUGAGAUAAGGAGAAAACGACUGAUAUGGAUGUGGAUAGCCGAAGGCUUGGUGCAAGAUGGAAAAAAACAAACUGGACUAUUUGAGCUCGGAGAGAGUUACUUCAAUGAACUCGCAAAUAGAAACUUGAUUCAACCAAUACAUGUUGAUGAUACAGGCAAGGCGAAAGCUUGUCGCGUCCAUGAUAUGCUUCUUGAUCUCCUAUGUUCCCUGUCCAGUGAAGUAAACUUUGUUACUAUAUUAGAUGGUACUCAGCAAAGCAAACAUAUUUCACACAACAAGAGUCGCAGAUUAUCUUUUCAAAAUAGCAUGUCAAAGCUCACCACCCAUGGGGUCGAUGCAACAAGUAUGUCACAAGUGAGGUCUGUUGUUCUCUUUAGAACUGAUACUGAUCUGAUCCGCACUGUUUCAGGCUUUCAUGUUUUACGUGUAUUGGAUUUAGAAGGUUGUGAUCUUCGAAAAAAUCGCCAACAUAUUGAUCUCAGGUAUGUUGAGAAUUUAUUACACCUAAGAUAUCUGGGGCUGAGAAAAACUUUUCUUGGUGAGCUCCCUGUGGAAAUAGGGAAGCUAAAGUAUUUGGAGACACUCGACUUAGCAGAAAAUGGGUCAAGUGUAGCAACGAUUCCAUCAAGUGUUGUCUGUCUAAGACGUUUGAUGUUCCUAGAUGCAGGCAAAGCGGUAUUACCCGUUGGGAUCGGGAACCUGACGUCCUUAGAAGAGUUGACUGGAAAAUUGGUGGAUAUGAAAGAGCUAGGGCAAUUGGUCAAGCUGAGAGUGCUAUACCUUUACUGGAAUGGGGACGAUGAGAGCAUGUGUAAUUCUUUGCAGCUGUCCUUGGGCAAGCUGCAGAAAAUGCAGAGUCUAACAAUUUUCAAUGUAGGGGAUGCAAGGUCUGAUGUCAGCUGGGAUGGUUGGGUGCCCACCCCACAGCUUCGGUAUCUCUUGUUUAGAUGUUGCACCACCACAUUGCCUAGGUGGGUUAAUUCAUCAUCGUUUCCCCUCCUCUCCUCCAUGAGUAUUUCAGUGGACAGAAUCCGGCCAGAAGUUGACAUUCAAAUCCUCGGGACGCUUCCCGCUCUUUGUCUUCUCUGGCUGUUGACCAGCAAACAUCAGCACACUUGUGUCAAAACAUUUGUCGUUGGCGCUAAUGCAUUCCGGUGUUUGAGAGAGUGCAGCUUCUUUGGUUUUCUCACGGGGCCAUCAAUGUUUCCACGAGGAGCUAUGCCAAGGCUUGAAUUCCUUAUGUUCUCAGCCCGAGCGUCGGAUAUUGUCGGCGGUGACCUGGAUGUCAGCAUGGGGCAUCUCCCUUUCCUCCGGCAUGUCAUGGUUUACCUGUGGCUUGAGGAAGGCAGCUCUUUAGAUAAGUUUAAGGAGGAAGCGGAUGUUGUACUGAGGCAUGCACUGGACAUCCAUCCCAACCGUCCCACCCUUGAGACCUAUAAGGAUGCUUUUUAUAACCAAUGA
rnacentral:rRNA from 1 species